UUACGUUCAAAAAUAUUAAUGCGAUGUA
rnacentral:sRNA from 1 species